UCAUAUCCCUUUCAAGAGAUUGAUGACACGUGGCAUUAACCAUCGAGAACAAACCAGUUUUGCAUGUGCAAUUUAGCUUUCUAGAUGGAAGUCCUUUUGCCGCAUCCAACCUGUUUUAUUUUAAGCAAGAAGGAGAGCGGGAAUAAGACCUCGGCGUGGUUUGCGCCAAGGAAGGUUGUUGGUGGAGUCGACCGCCUACUUUAUGUGGCGCGGUGUAUCCUCCUAUUAGUGUGAGAAUAUGCAUGACUCUUGGCAAUGGAUAUCUAGGCUCUUGCGUCGAUGAAGAACGUAGCAAAAUGCGAUACUUGGUGUGAAUUGCAGAAUCCCGUGAACCAUCGAGUCUUUGAACGCAAGUUGCGCCCGAGACCAUCAGGUCAAGGGCACGUCUGCUUGGGCGUCACGCCUUUGUCACUCCAAACACGUGUAAACCAUUACGUGCGUAUUGGUGUGUGUAGAUGUGGAUAUUGACCCUUUGUGCUUUCGUUGUGCGGCGGGUUUGAGUGAUGGUCGUUGCUAUGUUUUGCAUGCGACGAAAGGUGGAUAGAUUGUGCGCAUCAAGCCUCCAGUUGUGCAUAAGACCCCUAGCCACGACUUACAAGAAGUAAAACCGAUGACGAUGUUUGCACAUUUUGCAGGCUCGGACC
rnacentral:misc_RNA from 2 species